rnacentral:lncRNA from 1 species
GGCUAUCCUGGUUAUGGUUAUGGCUACCCUACCUAUUACCGAGGCUAUGGCUACCCAAACACCUAUGGCCUUCACUAUGGACACGACCUUCACAAACGGUCUGUUGACGAAGACGAAGCCGAGCCAUCCUAUGUCACUCCCAUCCACAGCCACCAAAGCCACUCCUUUGUAGGCCAUGACUAUUCUAGUCCUUACCACUACGGCUAUCUGCACAAGAGGUCUGCUGAUCCUGAAGUCGUACCAUCCUACCAUUCUACUAUCUACAAUCCUUAUGGACGCCCUUACAAUCACGGCUAUCCUUACCACCCUAUCCAUAAGAGGUCCGCUGAUCCUGAAGCCGAAGCCGAACCAUCCUACUAGUCUAGCAUCUACAAUCCCAAUGGACACCCUUACAACUACGGCUGUUCAUACCACCCUAUCCACAAGAGAUCUGCUGAUCCUGAACCCGAACCAUCCUACCAGUCACCUGUCUACAAUCCCUACAGACACUCUUACAACACAACUACGGCUAUCCCUACCGCCCUAUCCACAAGUGAUCUGCUACCAGUCUACCAUUUAGAAUCCCUAUGGACGCCCUUAUGUCUACGGCUCUUCCUGGCGCCCUAUCCACAAGAGGUCCGCUGAUCCCGAACCAGAACCUUCUUUCUAUUCUGCCAUCCACUGUAACUACCGCCCAAACUAUUCCAAUAUCGACGUCCGAAAUUAUGGCUACAACUACGGUCAUUCACCAUAUUCCGGAUAGAUAUACUUUAAAUACAGUUCGAAGUAGAAGCUCAGACCUCCAUAAUGAAACCUGGUCCUCAUUCCUUUUACAUAACUCUCACUCCAACAGCCUUCACACGUGCUAUGGUUAUGGCGACCGUAGAUCUUACAGACACCGGUCAAAUGUUCUUAGAGAGUAAAUACUACACUUGUUAAGGUGUUAAUACUACAUCUGGACUAAAAGACAAAUAAAGAUAGGCCUACUACACAAAA